rnacentral:rRNA from 1 species
ACGCUCGACACCUACGGGAGGCAGCAGUGAGGGAUAUUCGGCAAUGGGGGAAACCCUGACCGAGCAACGCCGCGUGAGGGAAGACGGUUUUCGGAUUGUAAACCUCUGUCCUCUGUGAAGAUAGUGACGGUAGCAGAGGAGGAAGCUCCGGCUAACUACGUGCCGGCAGCCGCGGUAAUCUGAGCGGGCUGGCAAGGC